UACGAAGGGGGCUAGCGUUGUUCGGAUUUACUGGGCGUAAAGCGCACGUAGGCGGAUUGUUAAGUGAGGGGUGAAAUCCCAGGGCUCAACCCUGGAACUGCCUUUCAUACUGGCAAUCUCGAGUCCGGAAGAGGUGAGUGGAACUCCUAGUGUAGAGGUGGAAUUCGUAGAUAUCGAGAGGAACACCUGUGGCGAAGGCGGCCAACUGGACGAGUACUGACGCUGAGACACGAAAGCGUGGGGAGCAAACAGG
rnacentral:rRNA from 1 species